GCUCACGCCUGUAAUCCCAGCACUUUGGGAGGCCGAGGUGGGAGGAUCACGAGGUCAGGAGAUCGAGACCAUCCUGGCUAACACACUGAAAACCCGUCUCUACUAAAAAUACAAAAAAUUAGCCAAGUGUGGUGGCGGGUGCCUGUAGUCCCAGCUACUCGAGAGGCUGAGGCAGGAGAAUGGUGUGAACUUGGGAGGCGGAGCUUGCAGUGAGCCGAGAUCGUGCCACUGCACUCCAGCCUGGGCGACAGGGCAAGACUCCAUCUCAAAGGAAAAAAAAAAAAACUUUAUUCUUUUCCUCCUCACUUCAAUAAACUAGUCUAAAAAAAAUAACUCCUUCAGUGGUGGCUAGAGAAUUGUUAAUGUAGCUAAAUCCUUGCAUUUCUCAAAGACUCAAACCAGACACAGUAUUCGCAUAUUUCACUGCUUAAAGUCUUUAACUAGUACCUCCAGAAACGUGUUUAUAUUCAGAAAAUGAUUCAUCUCUAGGAAGAAGGAAAAACAAGGAGGUUACAAAGGUAACAAACAAAAUUUAAAAUGUAAAAUGUUUGCAAAAGCUUCCAGGCCACAUAAUCCUGUGAGUUUCCUUUAUCCUUAAUUAGGUCAGCUUUUGAUACUUCCAUCAUUUUUUCAGCAUUUUCUUUUUCAAUACUGCUGCCCCAGAAUCCCAUUUGCAGUUUUAAUUGACCUACUUAAUUAGGAUUUGGAACACUCAGACAGAAGAGUGUGUUGUCUUCAUUCUGUUUUGCUCAAUAGACCUUAUAAAUAAAUUGAAUUUCUAAUUCUGUUUGUUAAAAACCAGGCACCUUAGGCAAUUCCAAGACCCAAAUAUUCAGGUUUAAUUAUGG
rnacentral:lncRNA from 1 species